GUGGGGAAUAUUGGACAAUGGGGGGAACCCUGAUCCAGCCAUGCCGCGUGUGUGAAGAAGGCCUUUUGGUUGUAAAGCACUUUAAGCGAGGAGGAGGCUACCGAGAUUAAUACUCUUGGAUAGUGGACGUUACUCGCAGAAUAAGCACCGGCUAACUCUGUGCCAGCAGCCGCGGUAAUACAGAGGGUGCAAGCGUUAAUCGGAUUUACUGGGCGUAAAGCGCGCGUAGGUGGCCAAUUAAGUCAAAUGUGAAAUCCCCGAGCUUAACUUGGGAGUUGCAAUCGAUACUGGUUGGCUAGAGUAUGGGAGAGGAUGGUAGAAUUCCAGGUGUAGCGGUGAAAUGCGUAGAGAUCUGGAGGAAUACCGAUGGCGAAGGCAGCCAUCUGGCCUAAUACUGACACUGAGGUGCGAAAGCAUGGGGAGCAAACAGGAUUAGAAACCCCGGUAGUCC
rnacentral:rRNA from 1 species